rnacentral:lncRNA from 1 species
UUCACCAAGAAAGGAAAAAGUAAAAGCACAGAUGGCUUCCUGACGCACAUAUAUAGGGUAAUGAGGUGGGGAAUUUGUUUAUACAUUCAUCUGUUUAUUGGGAUGGAACGGAAGCCAUUCCUGUGCAAACGUUCUAGGAAGCAGCUUCAGAGUAGCCUCGAACAAAAAGACAGCAGUCCACAGUUUGCUUUGGCUAAGCAAAAUAGCAGUGGACACAGAAUAGAUUGUUGUGAGAAUAGAAGAAACAUUAUCAGGUCAAGCUGCCAGUGCAUGAAAAUAUGAGAAUGGAGGUUCCUUACUGAAGGAGAUUUUCAGAUCAGAAUAAAUCUCUUGAAGAACAACAGGUGACUGAUGGAAGGCCUGUGGAGACAAAGAAACUUAAAAGAAAAAAUCUUUGAGAAAAAGUAC